AACAGGAUGAAGACAAAGAGGAGGACGAGGAGGAGGCUGAGGAUGAGGACAAGGAGGAGAAGGAAAAGGACAGCAAAGAGGAUACAGAAAUUGCUUGUGGCGCCUGUUCUGCUGAGCAUAGAGUAUGGGAUACGGCUACUGAGUAUAAACUGGAGUACUUUUUUGGAGAAAGUCUCCCAAUGUCUUUAUUGUUCUUCUCUAAAGAAGCUACUGAAUAUAAGUAUGAAAAUUCUGAUGAAGAGGCUCAAGAAGCUGGAGGCAAGAAGGAGAGAGAAGAGGAUGAAAAUGAAGAACUGGAAGAAGGACUAGAAAAGGAUCCGGACUCAGCAGAGGACAGCACCUUCAAAAAAUCCAGCUUGGAGGCGGAGAAAGAAAUAGAUGGAGAAAUAAGAAAUUAAUUUCCUCUUCAUGGAUGUUCUAGUUUUCAGUAGCUCAAACAACUGGUUUUGUUAAAGUUCAUUACACAAAAAUGAUGUCAACUGAUAUCUGAUUUUACUCUUACAUUUUAUGUAUAUGUUUGACAGCAUUUGUUCAUGUUAAAAAAUAAAAGCUUGUUUGAAAUGA